GUCCUAGCCGUAAACGUUGGGUGCUAGGUGUGGGCGGACAUCGACCCCGUCCGUGCCGAAGCUAACGCAUUAAGCACCCCGCCUGGGGAGUACGGCCGCAAGGCUAAAACUCAAAGGAAUUGACGGGGCCCGCACAAGCGGCGGAGCAUGCGGCUUAAUUCGAUGCAACGCGAAGAACCUUACCUGGGCUUGACAUGCAGGGCAAAAGCCGGUGAAAAGCCGGCGCUCUACGGAGCCUGCACAGGUGGUGCAUGGCUGUCGU
rnacentral:rRNA from 1 species